GAUGAACGCUGGCGGCGUGCUUAACACAUGCAAGUCGAACGGUGAAGCAGGAGCUUGCUCUUGUGGAUCAGUGGCGAACGGGUGAGUAACACGUGAGCAACCUGCCCCUGACUCUGGGAUAAGCGCUGGAAACGGCGUCUAAUACUGGAUAUGUGAUGUGACCGCAUGGUCUGCAUCUGGAAAGAAUUUCGGUUGGGGAUGGGCUCGCGGCCUAUCAGCUUGUUGGUGAGGUAAUGGCUCACCAAGGCGUCGACGGGUAGCCGGCCUGAGAGGGUGACCGGCCACACGGGGACUGAGACACGGCCCAGACUCCUACGGGAGGCAGCAGUGGGGAAUAUUGCACAAUGGGCGGAAGCCUGAUGCAGCAACGCCGCGUGAGGGAUGACGGCCUUCGGGUUGUAAACCUCUUUUAGCAGGGAAGAAGCGAAAGUGACGGUACCUGCAGAAAAAGCACCGGCUAACUACGUGCCAGCAGCAGCCGCGG
rnacentral:rRNA from 1 species